AUGGCUCCAAUACCGAUCUUGUAUCAUCCUGAGCCAGCUCCGUACACAUUGCCGCACCUGCUUCAGACCGUGUGGCGGCGACUCUAUCCAGAGGGUGCUGAUCCAGAGUAUCGGGUGUAUCGAGAGCAUCUGGCCGGUGAAUUGUAUGAGUAUUAUGCUGAGGUCACUCUACACCACAGUACCCCUUCCGGCGCUUACACUCGUUCGACGAAGGGUGGUCUUGCUUCUACGCGAUCUCAGGCAGUUCAGUUUGCUGCUAUCGAGGCUCUUGUAGACUUGCGCUACAACGAGGUUCGCAUGCACACCCACCCAGGUCUCUUCUACUACCCAUCUCUGCACGAGAAUGGGCGUCUCCGCUUUCCUUUGAUUAAUCUGGCGUGCGAUCGUUCCACUAGCCACCUUUCCCGCUAUAUCAUUUCCAGUUAUCUCCUGAACUACGAGUUAGCUCGGGAGCUUUCACGCGCCUAG
rnacentral:rRNA from 1 species